ACCUACGGGACGCAGCAGUGAGGAAUAUUGGUCAAUGGCCGGAAGGCUGAACCAGCCAAGCCGCGUGAAGGACGAAGGUGCCAAGCAUUGUAAACUUCUUUUGUCAAGGGACAAAAUCAGGCUCGAGAGCCUGACCGAGGGUACUUGAAGAAAAAGCAUCGGCUAACUCCGUGCCAGCAGCCGCGGUAAUACGGAGGAUGCGAGCGUUAUCCGGAUUUAUUGGGUUUAAAGGGUGCGUAGGUUGUUUUUUAAGUCAGCGGUGAAAGUUUGUGGCUCAACCAUAAAAUUGCCGUUGAAACUGGAAG
rnacentral:rRNA from 1 species